rnacentral:rRNA from 1 species
GUCAAAAACAGAAAGGCUGACGGUGGAGACCUAGGCACAUAGAGACGAUGAAAGGCGCAGAUACCGGCGAUACGCUUCGGGGAGCUGGCAACAAGCUUUGAUCCGGAGAUUCCUGAAUAGGGCAACCUCUAGAACUUCUGAAUGAAUUCAUAGUUCAGAAAGAGACAACCUGGUGAAUUGAAACAUCUUAGUAACCAGUGGAAAAGAAAGCAAACGCGAUUCCCGUAGUAGCGGCGAGCGAACCGGGACCAGCCUAAACCCAUUUUCGGAUGGGGGUUGUGGGAAGACCAGAUACAAAGUUCAAUCAAACAGAUGAAGCAGCUGAAUCCUGCACCAUAGACGGUGAAAGUCCGGUAAUCGACCUUGAUUUUCCUUUGGGUUUAAUCCCGAGUAGCAUGGGGCACGUGGAAUCCCGUGUGAAUCUGCGAGGACCACCUCGUAAGGCUAAAUACUCCUAUGUGACCGAUAGUGAAGUAGUACAGUGAUGGAAAGGUGAAAAGAACCCCCGUAGGGGAGUGAAAUAGAACAUGAAACCGUCAGCUGACAAGCAGUGGGAGGAGAUUGACUCUGACCUCAUGCCUGUUGAAGAAUGAGCCGGCGACUUAUAGGAUGUGGCAGGUUAAGGAGUUAGAUCCGGAGCCCAAGCGAAAGCGAGUCUGAAUAGGGCGUAACGUCACAUCUUAUGGACCCGAACCCGGGUGAUCUAAUCAUGGCCAGAGUGAAACUUGGGUAACACUAAGUGGAGGUUCGAACCGCCCGAUGUUGAAAAAUCGACGGAUGAGCUGUGAUUAGGGGUGAAAUUCCAAUCGAACCCGGAGCUAGCUGGUUCUCUCCGAAAUGCGUUGAGGCGCAGCGGCCACGAUGAGCUAUCUAGGGGUAAAGCUACUGUUUCGAUACGGGCUGCGAAAGCGGUACCAAGUCGUGGCAAACUCAGAAUACUAGAUAUAGCCUUCCGUAAGCCAGUGAGACUAUGGGGGAUAAGCUUCAUUAGUCAAGAGGGAAACAGCCCAGAUCACCAGUUAAGGCCCCUAAAUGAUCGCUAAGUGGAAAAGGAUGUGAGAAUGCUGAAACAACCAGGAGGUUUGCUUAGAAGCAGCAGCCCUUUAAAGAGUGCGUAAUAGCUCACUGGUAAAGCGUUCUUGCGCCGACAAUGGCCGGGACUAAGCGAUCUGCCGAAGCUGUGGGAUGGAUUUUGACAAUCCAUCGGUAGGAGAGCGUUCUGUCAUGGGUGAAGUGGUUGCGUAAGCGGCUAUGGACAGGACAGAAGUGAGAAUGUUGGCUUGAGUAACGAAAACACUGGUGAGAAUCCAGUGCCCCGAAAACCUAAGGGUUCCUCCACUAGGUUCGUCCAUGGGGGGUGAGUCAGGACCUAAGGCGAGGUCGAACGGCGUAGUCGAUGGCAAACAGGUUAAUAUUCCUGUACUGAUCUAUAUGGAUCUCGAGGGACGGAGAAGGCUAAAUUCGGUCUGUGUAUGGAAUGCAGUGGAAGCGUCCAAGGUGUUGAGAGGGAGAAGAAAAACUCACCUUGAGCUGAGGCGUGAUCCCGUUCGCUGGAACUUGUUCCGGUUGGACGCGAAUGAUGUCAUGCUCCCAAGAAAAGCUCGUCAAUCAUUAACAUAUAGAUUACCUGUACCUGAAACCGACACAGGUAGGUUAGUAGAGCAUACUAAGGGGCGCGAGAGAACUCUCUCUAAGGAACUCGGCAAACUGGCCCCGUAACUUCGGAAGAAGGGGCGCCAUCUUCACAGAUGGUCGCAGUGACCAGGCCCAGGCGACUGUUUACCAAAAACACAGGUCUCCGCAAAGUCGUAAGACAAUAUAUGGGGGCUGACGCCUGCCCAGUGCCGGAAGGUGAAGGAAGUUGGUUAUCGAGUCUCUCGAGAAGCUGGCGACCGAAGCCCCGGUGAACGGCGGCUGUAACUAUGACAGUCCUAAGGUAGCGAAAUUCAUUGUCGAGUAAGUUUCGACCUGCACGAAAGGCGUAACGAUCUGGGCGCUGUCUCAGAGAGAGGCUCGGUGAAAUAGACAUGUCCGUGAAGAUGCGGACUACUAAUACUUGGACAGAAAGACCCUAUGAAGCUUGACUGGACUCUGGAAUUGAGUUCGGGCUUUUCUUGCGCAGUCUAGGUGGGAGGCGUUGAAGAUUUCCUUCCGGGGAAGUUGGAGCCAUCAGUGAGAGACCACUCUGGGAAGGCUAGAAUUCUAAUGGUGUUCCUUAUAUCAGGACACUUGACAGUUUCAGAUUGACAGUUUAUCUGGGGCGGAUGCCUCAUAAAAAGUAACUGAGGCGUGCAAAGGUUCCCUCAGUCUGGACGGAAAUCAGACAUUGAGUGUAAAGGCAAAAGGGAGCUUGACUGCAAGACCUACAAGUCGAGCAGGAACGAAAGUUGGCCUUAGUGAUCCGACGAUGCCGUGUGGAAGGGUCGUCGCUCAACGGAUAAAAGUUACUCUAGGGAUAACAGGCUAAUCUUCUCCAAGAGUUCACAUCGACGAGAAGGUUUGGCACCUCGAUGUCGGCUCAUCACAUCCUUCGGCUGCAGUAGGUCGAAAGGGUUGGGCUGUUCGCCCAUUAAAGUGGUACGUGAGCUGGGUUCAGAACGUCGUGAGACAGUUCGGUCCAUAUCCGGUAUUAGCGCAAGAGUAUUGAGGGGAGCCUUCCAUAGUACGAGAGGACCUGUGAAGGACAUGCCUAUGGUGUACCAGUUAUUCUUCCAAGGGUAAACGCUGGGUAGCUACGCAUGGAGUGGAUAAGUGCUGAAAGCAUCUAAGUACGAAGCCCACCCCAAGAUGAGUACUCUCCAUUAGAUCGCGGGAAGACCACCCGUUGAUAGGUAUCAAGUGUAAGGUCUGUAAGGAUUUCAGCUGAGAUAUACUAAAGAUCGAGUGAUUUUGAC